UAGGGAAACAAGCCUUGUUACAAGGUUUGAGGGUCUCUGCUAGAAUCAUGUGGACCCCAGUGUAACAAAUCUAUGGAAAGAGAGAAAAUCUCAGCUCAAGGGUCAACAUGUCUUUAUUCCAAGAAAGAGUGUACAUAUGCCAGAAUCAUAUGGACCGCAGACUGGCCCUGGUGAUUCCGUUAAGAAAAAAGAGGAAAAAUCAGUGCUUGUGCUCAUUGGUCAUUGGACAAAGGGUGUAUGCCAGAAUUUUUUCAAGAACAGUCUGAAUCUGACAUGGAAAAAAUUAAGAAAAACAGCCUUCCUGUUUAUAAAUCUACAUUCUGACAAAGGAUCAUUUUCUUGAGAUAGGUGGAACCAACAGUCAAAUACAGACACUUCUAAGAAAAGUAAAAAUCUGGCUCAGGUAAGAAAGAAAUUCAGGAGUUCUUAAAUUGCCCUUGGAGUUCUUGGAUUGCAUCAAACUGCUAAAAGACCUCAACAAAAACAGCGUCUUGAAAAUAAAAAUGAAAAUAUUCAGUGAAAAAAAAAAUGAUGAAAGAGCCACUAAAAAUCUUCAAGCCUUUGAGCUGAAAUCUGGAAGUCAAUCUGUGGACUUUACUAGUAAGUCAUAAUUACUAAGUCAUCAUUUGUGUAUAAUAAAUACACUAAACUGUAAACACUUGUUAAAAUGUGUAUAAUUUUUAGAUAUAAUUUGUAUCUCAUAGACUUCAAUAGUUUCAUGUAAUUUAAGUAAUAAUGAAAAUUUCCUGUUGUCUAGCUAGAUUAGAAACUAUUAUUGUCCAAUUUUGGAUAUUGUGAAAUAAUUCAUCUAGUAUGCA